rnacentral:rRNA from 1 species
CGUGCUUAACACAUGCAAGUCGAACGAUGAUCUCCAGCUUGCUGGGGGGAUUAGUGGCGAACGGGUGAGUAACACGUGAGUAACCUGCCCUUUAACUCUGGGAUAAGCCUGGGAAACUGGGUCUAAUACCGGAUAUGACUCCUCAUCGCAUGGUGGGGGGUGGAAAGCUUUUUGUGGUUUUGGAUGGACUCGCGGCCUAUCAGCUUGUUGGUGAGGUAAUGGCUCACCAAGGCGACGACGGGUAGCCGGCCUGAGAGGGUGACCGGCCACACUGGGACUGAGACACGGCCCAGACUCCUACGGGAGGCAGCAGUGGGGAAUAUUGCACAAUGGGCGCAAGCCUGAUGCAGCGACGCCGCGUGAGGGAUGACGGCCUUCGGGUUGUAAACCUCUUUCAGUAGGGAAGAAGCGAAAGUGACGGUACCUGCAGAAGAAGCGCCGGCUAACUACGUGCCAGCAGCCGCGGUAAUACGUAGGGCGCAAGCGUUAUCCGGAAUUAUUGGGCGUAAAGAGCUCGUAGGCGGUUUGUCGCGUCUGCCGUGAAAGUCCGGGGCUCAACUCCGGAUCUGCGGUGGGUACGGGCAGACUAGAGUGAUGUAGGGGAGACUGGAAUUCCUGGUGUAGCGGUGAAAUGCGCAGAUAUCAGGAGGAACACCGAUGGCGAAGGCAGGUCUCUGGGCAUUAACUGACGCUGAGGAGCGAAAGCAUGGGGAGCGAACAGGAUUAGAUACCCUGGUAGUCCAUGCCGUAAACGUUGGGCACUAGGUGUGGGGGGACAUUCCACGUUUUCCGCGCCGUAG